CCAAAGACGGCAAAUAUUCUCCUCCCAACUCUUCCUCUGAUGACACCGCCAGUGGAAGCGAAAGAUCCAAUAAACAUCCGGUUCCUAAACAGGCGGCUCGAUCCUCUCUCUUGGGUAUGUUAGGUCUUGCUGGACACAAAGUGCCUCUCCGACCUAAGAUAGACCAAACUGAACCAACUUUUAUGCCAGUUCAAAUGGAUGCGCCACGAGUACAUAAUAUAUCUUCCGACACGCGACGUGGCCCCAAAACAUCUCUUCGUAGAUCGAGUUCACCAUUCGGUAGAGUUAUAACAGAUGAUCCAACUUCGAUGAUUCAGAUUAAAAAAGCAAAAAUCACGC